UACGUAGGGUCCGAGCGUUGUCCGGAAUUACUGGGCGUAAAGCGUGCGCAGGCGGCCCGCGAGGUGUCACGUGAAAGCCCCGGGCUCAACCCGGGAGGGUCGUGGCAAACCGGCGGGCUUGAGGCCGGUAGAGGUGGGUGGAACUCCUGGUGGAGUGGUGAAAUGCGUAGAGAUCCGGAAGAACACCGGUGGCGAAGGCGGCCUGCUGGGCAGUAGCUGACACUGAGGCGCGACAGCGUGGGGAGCAAACAGG
rnacentral:rRNA from 1 species